AAAAAUUGCGAUGGAGGGACGGAGGGGUGAAAGGUUUGCCCUAUGACGGAUAUUAGGGUUAAAGUGUGUAGGCGUUGAAAGCUUUUGGUAAAUCCGGAGCUGAGCUGAUCCACGACAGUACUCGGAAGCCGCAAGGCUGAAGAGAUAAUGACCGGUAACUGACUCCCGAGAAAAGCUUCUAAGCUUCAGAUUUAUACAGCCCGUACCGUAAACCGACACAGGUAGUCGAGGAGAGUAUCCUAAGGCGCUCGAGUGAUCCGCGGCUAAGGAACUAGGCAAUUUAGUCUCGUAACUUCGGAAUAAGAGACCCCUGCAAUUAUGCGGGGCGCGGCGAAGAGGUCCAGGCAACUGUUUAACAAAAACACAGGACUCUGCUAAAUCGAAAGAUGAUGUAUAGGGUCUGACACCUGCCCGGUGCUGGAAGGUUAAGGGAGGGGAUUAGGAGCAAUCCAAAGUCUUUGACUGAAGCCCCAGUAAACGGCGGCCGUAACGAUAACGGUCCUAAGGUAGCGAAAUUCCUUGUCGGGUAAGUUCCGACCUGCACGAAUGGUGUAAUGAUCUGGACGCUGUCUCAGCCGCGAGCUCGGUGAAAUUGAAGUAUCGGUGAAGAUACCGGUUACCCGCAACGGGACGGAAAGACCCUGUGAACCUUUACUAUAACUUCACAUGGUGCUUGAAUACGGGAUGUGUAGGAUAGGUGGGAGACUUUGAAGUCUAUACGCUAGUAUAGGUGGAGUCACUGUUGAAAUACCACCCUUUCUGUAUUUAGGUUCUAACUCCGAUCUAAUCGGAGGACAGUGUGUGGCGGGUAGUUUGACUGGGGUGGUCGCCUCCUAAAAAGUAACGGAGGCUUGCAAAGGUGCCCUCAGCAUGGACGGUAAUCAUGCGUAGAGCGUAUUAGUAGAAGGGUGCUUGACUGAGAGGCCGACAGGCCGAACAGGGUGGAAACACGGCUAAAGUGAUCCGGUGGCACUGCAUGGGUGGGCCAUCGCUCAAAGGAUAAAAGGUACUCCGGGGAUAACAGGCUGAUCUCCCCCGAGAGCUCAUAUCGACGGGGAGGUUUGGCACCUCGAUGUCGGCUCAUCGCAUCCUGGGGCUGGAGAAGGUCCCAAGGGUUUGGCUGUUCGCCAAUUAAAGCGGUACGUGAGCUGGGUUCAGAACGUCGCAAGACAGUUCGGUCCCUAUCUGUUGUGGGCGCACGAAUAUUGAAAGGAUCUGACUCUAGUACGAGAGGACCGAGUUGGACGAACCUCUAGUGUACAGUUGUGGCGCCAGCUGCAUCGCUGGGUAGCUAUGUUAGGUUUGGAUAAGCGCUGAAAGCAUCUAAGCGCGAAACCGGCCUUAAGAUGAGUAUUCGAUGAAGGGCUGUA
rnacentral:rRNA from 1 species